rnacentral:rRNA from 1 species
ACAACCCAGUGAAUUGAAACAUCUUAGUAGCUGGAGGAAAAGAAAGCAAACGCGAUUCCCGUAGUAGCGGCGAGCGAACCGGGAACAGCCUAAACCUAUAAAAAGGGGUAGUGGGAAGACUAUAAAAAGCGCCUACCAUAAACAUAAAAAAGGGGAACCUUCUUGUCGAAAAAGCAUGAACUUUUUUUUAUAAAAAAAAGAAAACUCAGCUCAUACUCGACAGGUAUUGUUAAGGAAAAAGGCGCUGUGGCCAGAAAAAAAUGGAGGAUACGAAGCAGCUGAAUCCUGCACCAUAGACGGUGAAAGUCCCGUAGUUAAAACCAUUUUAUCUUGAAUUCGAACCGAGCAACAGUUUUCCUAGGGAAAAAGGUUAGAAAGAAAAGCCGUUAAACUUUUUUUGUUUAAAAAAAGCAAAGUCAAAUCCCGAGUAGCAUGGGACACGUGGAAUCCCGUGUGAAUCAGCGAGGACCACCUCGUAAGGCUAAAUACUCCUGGGUGAUCGAUAGUGUAAAGUACCGCGAGGGAAUGGUGAUAAGAACCCCUGUAGGGGAGUGAAAUAGAACAUGAAACCGUAAGCUGACAAGCAGUGGGAGGCGUCAAUUGAACUUUUUUAAGUUCAACGAAGACCUGACCGCGUGCCUGUUGAAGAAUGAGCCUGCGACUUAUAGGGAGUGGCAAGGUUAAGGAGUGAAAUCCGGAGCCUUAGCGAAAGCGAGUCUGAAUAGGGCGCAAAAAAUCAAGUCACUUCUUAUGGACCCGAACCCGGGUGAUCUAAUCAUGGCCAGGUUGAAGCUUGGGUAACACCACGUGGAGGACCGAACCCACCGAUGUUGAAAAAUCGGGGGAUGAGCUGUGUUUAGCGGAGAAAUUCCAAUCGAACUCGGAUCUAGCUGGAUUACUUUGAAAUGCGUUGAGGCGCAGCGGUGACUAAGAGCUGCCAAUGGGUAGAGCGACUGUCUGAAUGAGGGCGACGAAAGUUGUACCAAUUUCUAACAAACUCCGAAUAAUUAGGUAUUGCCUUCAGUCAUUAGUGAGACAAGCCGGGAUAAGCUGGUUUGUCAAGAGGGAAACAGCCCAGACCGCUAGCUAAGGCCCCCAAAUGGUUUUUAAGUGGAAAAGGAGGUGAGAAUGCACAGACAGCCAGGAUAUUUGCUUAGAAGUAGCCAUUAUUUAAAGAGUGUGUAAUAACUCACUGGUAUAGCGAUUUCGCGCCUAUAAUGGCCGGGACUAAAUAACCUGCCGAAGCUGCGGUAUUUAACUUGCAAACUUGCAAAUUAAAUAGGUAAAAGUACGUUCUAUUAUCGGGUGAAGCUCUGACGGAAGUUUCGAGUGGACGGAAUAGAAGUGAGAAUGUAGGCUUGAGUAACGAAAACAUUGGUGAGAAUCCAAUGCCCCGAAAACCUAAGGGUUCCGAAACUAGGCUCGUCCUUUUCGGGUUAGUCAGGUCCUAAGGCUAGUUAAAUUUAUUUAAGUCGUCGAUGGCAAACAGGUUAAUAUUCCUGUACUGAUUUUAUUGAGAACCGAGGGACGGAGUCGACUAAACUGAGACUGCUUCUGGAUUUCAGUGGAAAUAUUGAGGUGUUGACAGCUCGAAUAAAAACGAUGCUCGAGCUAAGAUAUGAUCCCUUCAACUUUCUGCAAGGAAAAUUGAAGUCAGUGAUGUCAAACUUCCAAGAAAAGCUCGAACACUAUAACAAUAAAAUUACCUGUACCUGAAACCGACACAGGUAGGUUGGUAGAGAAUACCAAGGGGCGCGAGAGAACUCUCUCUAAGGAACUCGGCAAACUGGCCCCGUAACUUCGGAAGAAGGGGCGCCCUCUAAAAUCGUUAAAAAUAUUAGAGGGUCGCAGUGACCAGACUCCGGUGACUGUUUAUCAAAAACACAGGUUUCCGCAAAGUCGUAAGACGAUAUAUGGGAGCUGACGCCUGCCCAGUGCCGGAAGGUUAAGGAAGUUGGUUAUUAAGUAAUUAAGAAGCUGACGACUGAAGCCCCGGUGAACGGCGGUCGUAACUAUAACGAUCCUAAGGUAACGAAAUUCAUUGCCAAGUAAGUUUUGGCCCGCACGAAUGGCGUAACAAUCGGAGUACUGUCUCGGAGAGAGACUCGGUGAAAUAGACUUGUCCCGUGAAGAUGCGGACUUCCUAAACCUGGACAGAAAGACCCUAUGAAGCUUGAAUGUAAGCUGACGUUGGGCUUUGUCUUUUCUUGCGCAGCCUAGGUGGGAGGCAGUGAUAAUUCCCUUCAGGGGGGAUUUGAGCCAUCAUUGAGAGACCACUCUGGAAAAGAUAAAACCCUAAUGGUGAUCCUUGAAUCAGGACACUUGACAGUGUCAGCCGGGCAUUUUGACUGGGGCGGUCGCUUUUCAAAUAAUAGCAAAAGUGUGCCAAGGUUCUCUCAGUCUGGACGGAAAUCAGACAUUGAGUGUAAAGGCAAAAGAGAGCUUGAUUGUAAGACCCAUGAGUCGAGCAAGGGCGAAAGCCGGCCUUAGUGAUCCGACGGUGCCGAGUGGAAGGGCCGUCGCUCAACAGAUAAAAGUUACUCUAGGGAUAACAGGCUGAUCUUUUCCAAGAGUCCACAUCGACGAAAAGGUUUGGCACCUCGAUGUCGGUUUUUCACAUCCUGGUACGGCAGUACGCGCCAAGGGUAUGGCUGUUCGCCAUUUAAAGUGGUACGUGAGCUGGGUUCAAAACGUCGUAAAGUCUUGCGACCACGUGAAGUGAUUUGCGUGUAAAAAUUGCCUCAUAUCGGAGAAACCCUUUUGUACUUUGCAAACUUCUGUCUGGAGUCAAUCUGUCCGUCUGAGAUUCAGUUUGCCAUCUGUCCUUAGGGAAACAGACAGACUCAGACUCAGAAGCGAAAACAGAAAUCGUAGCAGGACCAUACAAAAAGGGUAACCCCGAGGGAAGUCGGGAUAAAAAAAUUAAGUAAAAAAAAUCAAAUAA